GACUUACUCAGUGAAUAUUAAAGAUCAUUAGAUAACAUGAACAUAACUGACUGUAAAUACCAGGUUUUCGAUGGUUGUCAUCGACAGUUAGCCACUGUUGGAUGCCUUAUUAUGACGUGGCGUGAGCGCAAGCUGGUCGACACAACAACAAAAUGACCUUGUGCGGCGCAAGCCAUUAAAAUCAAUGGGUUUUAUAGUGCAGCACACACCACAUCCUGUGUAAAACCCCACAUUAGCAUACUAUCUAUAUGGAGAAGUAGGCCUAUAAAUGUAUUAAUGUGUCUUGAUCGUAUCUCUGUUUAUGAAGGUGAAAAGACACUUGGAAACCUUUUAAGCAGCAAGACGCUUUGCCAGCACUACUCAAAUUUCCAACCAAAAUGUUUCAGAGCACAGUGGUACCAGAGGUCUCCCUUUCGACUGCAGAGAGUAACUAUCCAUUACACUCCAUGACAGAAUGGAUCACACUCAUGCACAUUGGCAUCUGCGCUGUUUUGAUGGUGGUGGCUUUGUUUUAUUGUCUGUGCAACUACUCUAAAAUAUGCAGACAAAACCAUAACAGAGCAGAAAUCACACGUGAAGAAUGCGACCCAUCUGAUCCUCACAGCAGCACCAGAAACACACAGGCAAGUUGAGUUAAUAUAAUAAAGAGUCUUUAACUUCAAUUACAAUCAGAAAGACUUGAAGUGUGUUUGAAUAUUCCUGAAUUAAAAUGCUUUAUUGUUUCAACU